GACGAACGCUGGCGGCGUGCUUAACACAUGCAAGUCGAACGAGUGGCGAACGGGUGAGUAAUACGUGGGUAACCUGCCCUCUUUCUGGGAUACGCCUUUGCAACGGGGACUAAUACCGAAUAUAGGGGGAUGGGCUCGCGGCCUAUCAGCUGGUUGAUGGGGUGAUGGCCUACCAAGGCGGUGACGGGUAGCCGGCCUGAGAGGAUGAGCGACAUAAGUGGGAAUGAGAAAAGGCCGAGAGUCGUACGGGUGGGAGCAGUGGGGGAUAUGGCACAAUGGGGGAAAGACAGAUGCAGCGACGCCGCGUGGGGGAUGAAGGCAAGCGGGUUGUAAACCUGUUUAGCUAUCGAACGGGUAGGUGGAGAAGAAGCGCCGGCGAACUACGUUCCAGCAGCCGCGGUAAUAC
rnacentral:rRNA from 1 species